AUUGAACGCUGGCGGCAGGCCUAACACAUGCCAGUCGAGCGGAUGAAGGGAGCUUGCUCCUGGAUUCAGCGGCGGACGGGUGAGUAAUGCCUAGGAAUCUGCCUGGUAGUGGGGGAUAACGUCCGGAAACGGGCGCUAAUACCGCAUACGUCCUGAGGGAGAAAGUGGGGGAUCUUCGGACCUCACGCUAUCAGAUGAGCCCAGGUCGGAUUAGCUAGUUGGUGGGGUAAAGGCCUACCAAGGCGACGAUCCGUAACUGGUCUGAGAGGAUGAUCAGUCACACUGGAACUGAGACACGGUCCAGACUCCUACGGGAGGCAGCAGUGGGGAAUAUUGGACAAUGGGCGAAAGCCUGAUCCAGCCAUGCCGCGUGUGUGAAGAAGGUCUUCGGAUUGUAAAGCACUUUAAGUUGGGAGGAAGGGCAGUAAGUUAAUACCUUGCUGUUUUGACGUUACCAACAGAAUAAGCACCGGCUAACUUCGUG
rnacentral:rRNA from 1 species